UAAAACGCCAGUCAUCACUUAGACUUUUGAGUCAUCACGAAUAUGUAAAGCUAUAUAAAUGCUUGCUGCUAUUAUUUCUGUUGUUGUCAUCCUAGGUCUUAAUCAUCUCAUAUUGCAGAAAAGAAAACUGAGACCCAGAGAAAGACGUCAGAGGCAGGAUUUAAAUUCUGAAUUUUUGAAUAACCAUUCCACCUUAUUUGUCUCUUAAUUGGACUGACUCUACCCAGGACUUGGGAGUAAGAUAUUUUAUCUGAGUCUCAGAUCUCUGGAUUUUGAAGUGUCUGAAAAUGAUUUAAACUUUUUGAGGUAUCCACUUGGUGUGCUGAAUUUUAGAGGCAGAACAUAGAAAGAGAAAAAAACUUAAGAGAAUUUAUUUCAACUAUCCCUAUUUACAAGAUGGAGAAAAUGAAGCCAAAAUUACAGAUUCUUUUUUGGCUCACCUUCAGUUUAUCGGUCAAUCUUUUUGACUAAUAAAACUUUGGGAAGAUUCUAUUGUCAGAGAGAAGAGGAAAAUAAAAGGGGGAUCCAGGGCUGUUUACCUGGGGAUGCUUCUUGAUCUAUCCUAUUAGCUGACAACAAAGUCCAGAAAAGAAGAAGAAAGAGAUGAAGAGGAUGGUCUGCCCUCCCCAUCUGUUUGUAAAGAGUGAUUUUCCCAAGAUCACAAAGCUAGGAUGAAAACCCAAAUUCCUUGUCCUUGAAUCUACUGGGUAAAUCUAACUACAGCACUCAACAAAUCCCUAUGAAAUAAAUGGAUAAACAAAGUAAAAAGUAAGUGAAUAAUGAAUAAUGGAAUAAUGAAAUAAUGGAAAAUAAUGGAAAAAUGGAAUCCAAGAAUAUACCUCACAUCAGGAAAAAUCUGAGAUGAAAUAUUUGUUGGUUAUAAUAAUUCGCAAAGUAAACAGUUUUCAGUUGACUGAGCUCUUUAACUGUGCUACUUAAUAAAAUCUGUGACUUCUCUUUUGUUUCUUAGA